rnacentral:rRNA from 1 species
CAAAAACAUGUCUUUGUGGUUUUAAUAUAAAGUCUGACCUGCCCAUUGACUUGAAGUUAAAAGGCCGCGGUAUACUGACCGUGCGAAGGUAGCAUAAUGAUUUGUCCUUUAAUUGGGGGCUAGAAUGAACGGUCGAACGAGAGGUUGGCUGUCUUGUUUAUAAGUUUUGAAGUUAACAUUUAAGUGAAAAGGCUUAAAUGACUUAGGGGGACGAUAAGACCCUAUAAAUCUUUAUAUUAAAGGUUGGAAAAUUGAGUUUUAGUUGGAGGAUUCGAAUUUGUAGUCGAUAAUAUUUUGUUGGGGCGACAGAAGCAUAAAUGUAAGUAACUGCUUUUAAUGUAAGUUAAACUUAUUUAAUUUGGAAGUGGUGAUCCUCUAGUUAGAGAGUAAAAAAACAAGUUACUUUAGGGAUAACAGCGUAAUCUUUUUUGAGAGUCCUAAUCGAAAAAAGGGUUUGCGACCUCGAUGUUGAAUUAAAGAUCCUUUACGGUGAAGAAGUGUAAGAGGA